rnacentral:lncRNA from 1 species
UUUUACAAUUAUACUAAAUUAUACUAAAAGGCCUUUUGCUUGCUAAAAAGUAUAAACUAUUAAUCAGAGUUAACAAAAUUGUUUCAAAAUGUGAUCAAAACCUUAGAUUAAUGCAGAAUGUUGAUAUGAUGUGUGUUUCAGAAUGGAGAGUGUCAUCAAACAGGUUGGUGAGAUCAGAGAUGUUGACUGUGAGCACUAGAAUCAGAUAUGGAGUACUGCACAUCUUCUCUUCAGUGGAUAAUGGAAGCUCUGUCUCAGAGCAGUACAGUGAAGAGCACUAAAGCACACCCGACUCGCAAAGCUCCUCAUUUCAGCCUCCAUUGAGAAAUGAAAAAGAGCCUUCUUUCCUGUAUUCGUCUUCUGUAUCUCAAUCUCAUGGACACGUGAACCAAGAAGCUGGAGAGAGUCAGUGAAAGGAGGGGAAAUGACGUGUCAAAAAACUACCCGUAUUGUUCUGGUUUCCAUUUUUAAACUUGUCACCCUGGCCUUUUCACUGUUCAUCCUGCUCUUACAAGUUUAGUGCUCCCAAAUGACCUCUCUUCAUAUUGCAUGUGAUUGUGGGAAGAGAACAGGGCACAGAAUGUCCUUGAACUUACAAUACACCGCAAGGUCAGUUAUGUCAUGUUACAUUCAUUGAUUACUUUAAUUGUUAGGUUUAACUAAUUACUUUAAUUGUUAGGUUUAACUAUAAGGUCAGGGUAACUGUCUUCAUAGUAUCUGAUUUUUAUGUAAGCAAUAAAGUAUGAGAGGCUGUGCUAUAUCGUGAAUAAAUCAAGGCUGAAGGGCGUUGUUAGGCAUGACACGAAGCGGAGUAGCCUAAAUAUGAUAUUAUAUACGGAGUAUAUACACCAUAUAUGCUAUUUUCUCAAACACAUACAUCUGUUUAUCUCUCAGCAUGAGAAAACGUCUUUUAGUUUUAAAACGGACCGAUUCGCGGUGCAACGGGAGUUUGCAAGCGUCAUUACAGUGUAAACUGAUGAACAUACAGAAUCAUACCUGAAACAGAAAACUAAUAAAUACAGUAAUAUUCCCUCCUUACUUCGGAAACUGUAGGCUUCCACACAGACGCGCACACAUCAACAUAUCUCCACAUGAGAAGUGUUUGUUAGAAGGGUGGGGUCUCAAAAUUAAAGAUGAAAGAUGCAACAUAACGCCAGCAGGGUUCACUCAUACGUCAUUAAAUAAAUAACAAACAGGUAAUUCUUCCGAAAUACAUAAGAAAUGAAACAGUUUUGAUGCUAUAUUAUUGAUUGUUUAUGUUGCUACGGGUGUUGUUGAGUGAUACACAGAACCAUUGGGUGAAGCGGUCAUAGCUGUGCUGUAUCGUGAAUAAAACACAGCUGCUGACCAAUCAGAAUCAAGGAAUGGAACUAACCAAUUUAUAAAGAGCUAUCCACGUGGAAGCAAGCCUAUGGGGAAGACUCCCGGUUCAUUAGACGCUAUAGGGAAAUAACGAGAGGAAUAACAAUGUGCAGUAAAUGGUAAAACUGUGCAUUAUAAACCAGUGUGUUCGUAAUUAAGACAACACAUUCAAAUAAUAUGGUAAGACACAACAAUUUUCAAUAUCAAGCAGCAAAACGAGCGUUCUGUACAGCUAAAAAUAGCUAGACGUGAAUGAGACUGGAAGCCAGACCCAUAGAAUUUACAAAUGAAGAAAAAGGAUGAACAACAUUGUUUAGAAGAUUAAAGGAAUGUUUCUGAAUUGACAAGAGCAACAGGUCCUUCAGCAUGUUUUCUCUUCCCUGACCCCAAACCGUUCCAAAACUAAAGCUAUCCCAAUGGACUAUCCGGACCUGUAGACCCCACUAUGUUUUCUUUUCUAUGUUAAUGUAUUAUCCAUUUAAACAGGAAGUUUGGGCUGGACAAGUGGCAAUAGAUUUUAGUUAUGUGACAGCCAUGGUAGAAACUGAGCUUUUCAAUUGCUUCACAGAAUGGUUCACUAUUUUAAACCGCUCCAAACGCACACACAGGCGACACACCUGAUGGUCAGAAUGCUGUAAAUGCAACACAAACUUUUUUGCAAAUGCUCUUCUUGAAAAUGUAAUCUAUUAAAUAUAUAAUAAUCAUCUCAAUUAAAAAAACUCAAAUAUGAAGUGUCUGUAUAUAAUAUGUGUUCGUUUAUAAAUUUGUAGAGCUUGUUUUGUGGGUUUGGCUAAUUAGGCCAAUAGGAGAGUAACUAUGACACAAUUAUUUAUAUAUUGUUAAUAUUUGGUAAAAAUAACUAAUUAAUUAAACAAAAACACUUUUGAAUACUACUGAGAAUAAAAAAGGGCUCCCACAGCAAUAGCAAUAAAGGAAUUUUUGGAAAUGGCUUGUUUUGAGCACCAGCAAACCCAAAAAGAAUGUCCAUGUCCAGUAUGCAUUGAAUUCUGUCAAAGACUGAUGAGAGAAAUCAAGCAUGGCUUGCAGUGCUUAAGUUAAAAUACUCCCCAAAGGUGGUAUAUACUAUAAGUGUUCUUUUCAUUCUGUGGACAAAAAGUUCUUUAGUUUUCCGGUAUGAGUCAGGAAAGACUUCUGCUAGAGGAGCCUGUGGAGAACUCCACUGGUUGGUGUUUAGAUGUGAAAAUCUUUCAGAAAGUGAAUACAAAUCUAUUUCAUUUUCACCGUCCAGUGAUGUAAAUGGUAGCAGGUGCAGACAGCAGUAGAUUAAAGGGUAUGCUGUGAUUAAGAUGUGUAGAGGUGACCUUUAGAAAAGUACCUGAUAUAGGGAAAGGGAAAGCGAGAGCG